rnacentral:lncRNA from 1 species
CCUGAGUGGUCUGCAUGGAGUCCAAAAUUGCGUUUUUACUUGUUUUCUCCUCCAGCAUACGGAAAAUGAAAUGAUCACUGAGGCAAGGCUAAAGGAAUGGCAGAGAUUGGAAUUGAAGAAGAUUAAACCAGGGAGCUGAUAAAACUGACCAAAGAGUCAUCUAAGUCCAGGAGCAAGAUAAAAGUCAGACUGACUUGCGAUGACCGGGUUGGAAUCUUCAAUGUCUGACCAAACUCUCAGAGCUCCACAGCACCUACUUUAGCUGCCUUUGGGACUCCUGAAAUAAAUUGUUCUCAUCUGCCCAUUCCUAACACAUCUUCAGAGACUGUUUUACUGAGUUGUGGCUGCUAUGCAUGCAACAGCUUCUUGUAGCCACAGUUCACAGGUUCACAGCAUCCCUGGGGAAAUACCGGUGUUUAAAUGACAGGCUUUUGCAUAAGCAAAUAAUUUGGUAUUCUUCAAAUCUCCACAUGGUUUACCAAAUGAGAUCCUGGAUGGCUUAG